rnacentral:ncRNA from 12 species
CAGUGGGAUAGGGUAGCUCCCGAAAAGCGUAAACCGUAAUACGCCUGUCCACUGUUUUAUAAUUACGG